CUUGAUGGAACACUACACCCAUCCUGUUUGCCAAUUCUGGACGCUUCUGGUCGAUCGCCUGCUUCAAGCGGUCCAGUUGUUCGGUAGAAUAAAGCGUGUGGCCAUAUGGGAGCAGCUCAUAGUGAAUGAUUCCCAUCCAAACCAACCAAACUCACAGCAAAACCUACUUGGUCGUCAAUCCCAGCUUCACCACUAUUUGGGACGAUUCACCAGCCUUCGACCACGACCGUUUUCGCUUGAUAUUGUCGUAUGUGAUCCAUUUUUCGUCGCCAGUCACCAUCCGCUUCAAAAAUGGGUCGAGUUCGUUCCGUUUCAGCAGCAUAUCGCAGGCGUUGAUUCGGUCCAGAAGGUUUUUUUUUGCGUCAAAUCAUGCGGCACCCAAACAUCAAGCUUUUUUGUGUAUCCAGCCUUCUGCAGAUGGUUUAAAAUGGUUUGGUGACUAACUCCCAUCUUCUGGGCGAUGUCACGAGAUGCCACAUGCCGGUCUAACUCGAUGUUUUCCAUGAUUUGAUCGGUAUUCGUCGUCACAGGUCUUCCGCCGGCUGGCUUAUCCAUGGUGUCGUUUUCACCCGCUCUGAAUCGUCGAAACCAUUCCUCCGCAGUUCGAAGUGAUAGAGUACCAUCCCCCAAAACAACAUUAAUCUCACGGAACGUUUCUCUAGCGGAUUUGCCUUUAACGAAGGAAAACUUUAAAAUAACGCGAAUUUCGGCGUUAGUGAACUCCAUGUUUACACGUCUAUAACUGUUGAACGCAAUAUCCAAACUAAUCAUGCAUAGCGUCGUUUUGUAGGCUAUGUCAAGACCUUUCAAAGGUCUUAGUAUUAUAGUACGAGUAUUGCCUGAUGCGAGCUCUGUAGCGCUUUAUA